UUUUUACUUUUCAGACCAUUAGGGCUUUCCUUCCUCUUUUAUUUAUCAACAGUGUUGUAACUGAACGUGACUAUGAGAUUUUUGAGGACGGGAAAAGGCACGACUGCGAAACUUCACAGAAGUAGCCAAAGUUGUACGAUGCUGAGACAGAAGUUUAAUCUCCAUGCUUACAAAUUUCUUCCCUACGCUGAAGUGGUCACCCAGAGCCAACUGUGGGACAUCCCCGCGCUCUGUCUGGCAGAGACGUCUGUGCCAACGAGGACAGUGGACAUAACGCACAUCCUGUAAACAUUCGGAACUAAUCCCACUGAAAGCAACACCGUUACAGGAUGUGCUCUGCCUCGAGCCCAGCUUCAGCCAAGCUACACACUCCACUCCCACCAGAACAGCAGAUGUCCCUGAGUCAGCGGAGCUCACCAUCGGUAGGAGCUCCCAUGUGAAAACAAAUCCAGCAUCAGACAGCUGACCGCAUAUGUGCCUCUGAAACUAUAGCAACAGAUAGUCCCCUUACCUCUGUGUCC
rnacentral:lncRNA from 1 species